UUCAGGUUGAGUUAGCUUGCCAUGACUAGCAACUUUGUUACCAUCCUUAUCUUUUGCCCGUUGACCUCCAUCAAUAUGACUGUCAUCCCUACAUGUCCCAGUUAACUUUGUUACCAUCCUCAUCUUUUGCCCGUUGACCUGCAUUAAUAUGACUGUCAUCCCUACAUGUCCCAGUUGAUUCUCCUGGAGAUCUUGCAUGUCUUGAAGUUCCUUUUUCAGGACCACUCUUGAGAUUCUUAGGAGUGCAAACCUUCUCAGAGCGCUUUAUAGGUUCCACUUUAUAUUCAGGAGACUUUGAAUAUGAACCAAUUGCUUCAGCAUCCAGCUUCUCCUUUCCAACCUUCACAUCACCAAGUUCAACGAGGUUGUAAAGAUUACUAGGCAGUGCAGCAGUAUCAAGUUCAAAAGACCCUGCAGGGACACCUUCUCCUUCCUGACCAGUCAUUCUGAAUGAAGGAAUUCGGUGGGAAAAUCUAUACAGUUCACUUGGUCGUAUGCAAAAUGAUAGAACACCAUUACAGUCAACUUGCUGAUAAAUACUAACAAAUCCCUUCACUUUACCCAAAUAAGCAACCCCAAUGCCAACAUCCUCCCUAAAAUCCGUCACAACUUCCACAAAUUCAAAUUGGUACGGUGGCCUAUGCUUUUCUGGUUCAGAACUCCAUUUAAUGUCCCAAUCCUUAAAGAGUGCCCAUGUUUCCCCCUUCUUAGGAUAUAUCAAGUAAGUGCCUCUGCGGGCAGCAUUCAUGCAAUGCAUUUGGUGAGAGAACAUUUGACAAUCUACAGUUUCAGUGUUUCCAUUUUCAUACCUACCACAACCAACAGGCAAAUCCUCAUCAUGCCAUUGUUGCUCAGCUUUGUUAUGUGAGAUUGCCUCUAGCCAAGUUAUCUGCAGCUUGAACCCAGGUGUGAGCACUUUCUUUACCCGAGCAUAAAAUCUGGGCAGGCCAUCAACUGAGUCAUAAAUAGCCCAUAUUUGAUUAACAGCAAAAGAGCUCUCUGCCCUAUCUUUCUCAAAGUUACUGAAAUCUGGAUCAGGAUAUUCAAAGAUCUCUGAUUUUGGUGCUUCAUUUGAAUUUAACUUUGAUGUGUCAAUUUUGGGGUUUUCAUCACCGUUCUCCAACUUUGUACCAGCCUUCUCUGACAUGGACGCUUCAUCUACGGUAGCCUCAAAAUCUCCAGUUUUGCUUUUCUUGUUUGAUGAUCUUUCUUCGAGACUGGAACUUGCUUUUUGUUUGACCACUUUGUUGUUUCUAUUCAACACAGCAGCAGCAAAACCAGCUGGAAUAUCUCUUGGUACUCCACCAUCUGCACUUGCUUUUAUCCCCCCAUCAUCCACACCAGAUGAACUGCCACCCCUAGAUCUUUUUGGAAGAGGGGCAACAAAAUCAUCAUCGCUCAAAUUUUCCUUGUAAGAAAUGUGCUGCUUUUGCCUUGAAGAUCUCCUAGAUGGAUGGCUGUCACUGGGUCUAGAAUUCUGUGCAGAAAGAUCACCAUCAUUUUCCUCAACAACGAUGUUUUCUUCAGUGCCACCAUUGCUGCUUUUGUCAA
rnacentral:misc_RNA from 1 species